rnacentral:rRNA from 1 species
GAUGAACGCUAGCGGCAGGCUUAAUACAUGCAAGUCGAGGGGCAGCAGGACUGUAGCACUACAGUUGCUGGCGACCGGCACACGGGUGCGGAACACGUACGCAACCUACCCAAAACUGGGGGAUAGCCCGGGGAAACCCGGAUUAAUACCCCGUAACCUUUUUAAGUGGCAUUUCUUGAUAAGUAUAGCUCCGGCGGUUUUGGAUGGGCGUGCGCCUGAUUAGGUAGUUGGUGCGGGUAACGGCCCACCAAGCCUGCGAUCAGUAACUGGUGUGAGAGCACGACCAGUCACACGGGAACUGGGACACGGACCCGGCUCCUACGGGAGGCAGCAGUAAGGAAUAUUAGCCAAUGGACGCAAGUCUGAACCAGCCAUGCCGCGUGAAGGAUGAAGGUCCUCUGGAUUGUAAACUUCUUUUAUGGGGGACGAAACCCGGAUAUUCUUAUCCGAUUGACGGUACCUCAGGAAUAAGCACCGGCUAACUCCGUG